rnacentral:rRNA from 1 species
GAGUAUUUCUCAUACUUCCAACCCAUGUGAACUUACCUUUUGUUGCCUCGGCAGAAGUUAUAGGUCUUCUUAUAGCUGCUGCCGGUGGACCAUUAAACUCUUGUUAUUUUAUGUAAUCUGAGCGUCUUAUUUUAAUAAGUCAAAACUUUCAACAACGGAUCUCUUGGUUCUGGCAUCGAUGAAGAACGCAGCGAAAUGCGAUAAGUAAUGUGAAUUGCAGAAUUCAGUGAAUCAUCGAAUCUUUGAACGCACAUUGCGCCCAUUAGUAUUCUAGUGGGCAUGCCUGUUCGAGCGUCAUUUCAACCCUUAAGCCUAGCUUAGUGUUGGGAAUCUACUUCUUUAUAGUUGUAGUUCCUGAAAUACAACGGCGGAUUUGUAGUAUCCUCUGAGCGUAGUAAUUUUUUUCUCGCUUUUGUUAGGUGCUAUAACUCCCAGCCGCUAAACCCCCAAUUUUUUGUGGUUGACCUCGGAUCAGGUAGGAAUACCCGCUGAACUUAAGCAUAUCAAUA